UACAGAGGUCUCAAGCGUUGUUCGGAAUUACUGGGCGUAAAGGGUGCGCAGGCCGCGCGGGCAGUCAAAUGUGUAAUUCAGGGGCUCAACCCCUGCACUGCGCUUGAUACUUCCGCGCUCGAGCUUUGGAGAGGAGUCUGGAAUUCUCGGUGUAGCAGUGAAAUGCGUGGAUAUCGAGAAGAACACUUAGGGCGUAGGCAAGACUCUGGACAAAUGCUGACGCUCAUGCACGAAGGCUAGGGUAGCGAACGGG
rnacentral:rRNA from 1 species